UUCAGGUAAAUGACCCUGCUUGCUCUGUAGAAAAGGCGUGGGUAGAAACUGCAUACAAUGUACCCGGUGUAAGCAAUAGACACAUAAAAGGUGCAGCAAUAUCAAAGGAAGGUUAAUCAGGAAAAUAGUUUUUGUCCAUGGCAGAUGCACUGGGGCAAUAAACAUUGAAGAUAUAGAGAAAACAGAUUUCAUCACAUGCCAGGGGGAGAAACUAGAAAUAGUUAAUAACUUCUGCUACCUAAGCGACCAAGGCUGUAGUGGGGGCAGUUGCUCUGAGAGUGUAGAGACU